GUGGGGAAUAUUGGACAAUGGGGGGAACCCUGAUCCAGCCAUGCCGCGUGUGUGAAGAAGGCCUUUUGGUUGUAAAGCACUUUAAGCGAGGAGGAGGCUACCGAGAUUAAUACUCUUGGACAGUGGACGUUACUCGCAGAAUAAGCACCGGCUAACUCUGUGCCAGCAGCCGCGGUAAUACAGAGGGUGCGAGCGUUAAUCGGAUUUACUGGGCGUAAAGCGUGCGUAGGCGGCUUUUUAAGUCGGAUGUGAAAUCCCCGAGCUUAACUGGGGAAGUGCAUUCGAGACUGGGAAGAUAGAGUAUGGGAGAGGAUGGUAGAAUUCCAGGUGUAUCGGUUAAAUGCGUAGAGAUCUGGAGGAAUACCGAUGGCGAAGGCAGCCAUCUGGCCUAAUACUGACGCUGAGGUACGAAAGCAUGGGGAGCAAACAGGAUUAGAAACCCGAGUAGUCC
rnacentral:rRNA from 1 species